rnacentral:rRNA from 1 species
GAUGAACGCUAGCUACAGGCUUAACACAUGCAAGUCGAGGGGCAGCAUGGGCUUAGCUUGCUAAGCCCGAUGGCGACCGGCGCACGGGUGAGUAACACGUAUCCAACCUUCCGGUAACUCCGGUAUAGCCUUUCGAAAGAAAGAUUAAUCCCGGAUAGUAUGGUGAUUCCGCAUGGUUUCUCCAUUAAAGGAUUCCGGUUACCGAUGGGGAUGCGUUCCAUUAGGCAGUUGGCGGGGUAACGGCCCACCAAGCCGAUGAUGUUUAGCGGGGUUGAGAGACUGAUCCGCCACACUGGGACUGAGAUACGGCCCAG